rnacentral:tRNA from 1 species
GCCGCCGUAGUCUAGCGGUUAGGAUGGCGGGUUGUGGAGCCGCGGGAGGACCCGGGUUCAAAUCCCGGCGGCGGCCCCA